GUCCCAUUAACUCAGUUGGUAGAGUGUGGUUCCUAUGAAGCUAUGGUCGGCGUUUCGAGCACGCCAUGGGACAC
rnacentral:tRNA from 2 species